UGGGGCAGUGGACAAUUUCCAGGG
rnacentral:piRNA from 1 species